rnacentral:rRNA from 1 species
GUGAGGAAUUUUCCGCAAUGGGCGAAAGCCUGACGGAGCAAUGCCGCGUGAAGGAUGAAGGCCUAUGGGUUGUAAACUUCUUUUCUUAGAGAAGAAUAUUGACGGUAUCUGAGGAAUAAGCAUCGGCUAACUCUGUGCCAGCAGCCGCGGUAAUACGACGGGGUCUAGCGUUGCUCGGAAUUACUGGGCGUAAAGGGCGCGUAGGCGGACAGCUUAGUCAGAGGUGAAAGGCGAGGGCUAAACCGUGGAAUUGCCUUUGAUACUGGCUGUCUGGAGUGUAGGAGAGGUGAGUGUAACUCCGGGUGUAGAGGGGAAAUUCGUAGAUAUUCGGAAGAACACCAGUGGCGAAGGCGACUCACUGGCCCAAUACUGACGCUGAGGCGCGAAAGCGUGGGGAGCAAACAGGAUUAGAUACCCUAGUAGUCC